AUUGUAAUUUAAUUGGAUUGGGAUUUUUAAAAUUAUAUUUUAAAGAUCAACAAGGACUUUUAUAAUUUAAAAAAAUCUAUUUGUUGGAUUGAAAUAUUUUUUUGUAGGUUGAUAGUGAACUUAGUUUGAAUUUUUUUUAAAGAUUUUGAUUGCAAGUUAACGGUGCAAUAAAGAAUUAUUAUUUUUGGUAGAUUCACAGUAAAAUUGAAAAAAUAAAACAGUUGAUAUGUGAGCAAAUUAAGAAUUUUUAUUCCAAUCUAUAAGUUAGAUUUUCUCUAAAUUUUAUGUACUUGUUUUUAAUUAAUAGAAUGAAACGUGUGAAAAUUAUGAAAUAAAAAAAAUAAUUCUUU
rnacentral:lncRNA from 1 species